rnacentral:rRNA from 1 species
UACAGAGGGGGCAAGCGUUGUUCGGAAUUACUGGGCGUAAAGGGCGCGUAGGCGGCCGCCUAAGUCAGACGUGAAAUCCCCAGGCUCAACCUGGGAACUGCGUCUGAUACUGGAUGGCUUGAAUCCGGGAGAGGGAUGCAGAAUUCCAGGUGUAGCAGUGAAAUGCGUAGAUAUCUGGAGGAAUACCGGUGGCGAAGGCGGCAUCCUGGACCGGCAUUGACGCUGAGGAGCGAAAGCCGGGGGAGCAAACGGG